ACCGGCGCACGGGUGAGUAACACGUAUGCAACCUGCCCGUGGCAGGGGGAUAAGCGGGGGAAACCCCGUCUAAUACCGCGUAACGCGGCCUAGGGACAUCCCAAGGCCGCCAAAGGGAGCAAUCCCGGCCACGGAUGGGCAUGCGGCGCAUUAGCUAGUCGGCGGGGUAACGGCCCACCGAGGCGACGAUGCGUAGGGGUUCUGAGAGGAAGGUCCCCCACACUGGUACUGAGACACGGACCAGACUCCUACGGGAGGCAGCAGUGAGGAAUAUUGGUCAAUGGCCGAGAGGCUGAACCAGCCAAGUCGCGUGAGGGAUGACGGCCCUACGGGUUGUAAACCUCUUUUGUCGGGGAGCAAAGGGAGUCACGUGUGACUCAUUGAGAGUACCCGAAGAAAAAGCAUCGGCUAACUCCGUGCCAGCAGCCGCGGUAAUACGGAGGAUGCGAGCGUUAUCCGGAUUUAUUGGGUUUAAAGGGUGCGCAGGCGGAGGUGCAAGUCAGCGGUCAAAUUGCGGGGCUCAACCCCGUACUGCCGUUGAAACUGCAUCCCUUGAGUGCGCGAGAAGUAUGCGGAAUGCGUGGUGUAGCGGUGAAAUGCAUAGAUAUCACGCAAAACUCCGAUUGCGAAGGCAGCAUACCGGCGCGCAACUGACGCUNAUGCACGAAAGCGUGGUUUCGAACAGGAUNAAUACCUUGUA
rnacentral:rRNA from 1 species